rnacentral:lncRNA from 1 species
CUUCUCCCUCACCGCUGCUUUCUCCAAAGGCUGUCAGAUCUUAUUGUUGGCUGGAACUCUUUGAACCUGCUUUGAUUCCAGGGGUCACCUGCUCGAUUCACAGAUUACUUUUUGUUUUACUUUGUUGUGCUUUGUUCCGUCUUGUUUAUAAUUGCUCAAAGACACGCAGCUCAAUUUGAUCUGUCGCGGUCUCGGGGAAUUUUCCCUCUAACAGAUUGUCAAAGAGCUCACUGAUGGUUGAAAUCAGACGAGGUCAAGUACAAAAGUAUCCUGUACUCCGGAACAUUUUUUUAGAUGCUAAGUGUCUCAGUUAGGCCUCCAGCAAGAGUGCUCAAGAAAUUCCAGCCCAGGCUGUGAGAAGUGACGUUCAUUUUAUAUGCAUGUUUCCCAUCGUUUUUUGUGGAUACCACACUGCGUUUUAUCGGCUUCCUUCCAUGGAACAAAAGGCUCUCUGAAAGUUGCACAGAUGAGAAACUGGAGCUUCAGGCAGAUUACAUGGCCUAAAUCCCUCUGGAAUUAGCACUGUGCUCUGAACUACCUGCAAACCAGGAAGCUGAUACAGAAACACAGUUGAAGUCUUCAGAGUGCAUCUGCAGUGACCAAUCUCAGCUCAUGCAAGGGGGUACUACUAGACUGCACAUAUAUCUUAAUGGACAAAAAUUAUCUCCAUUAGAAAUGUGGCUGCACUGGAAUAAUUUGUGAGGCAUUGGAGUGGUGUGUCAAUUGGGGAAAAAUGCUAUUUUUCGUUAAGUUCAAGGAUUUGAUAACAGCAUGAAGGUUGCAAAUCAGCAAAUAACAGAAAACGAAGGCACCUUAUGCUUUGAUUUUGUGGACAACACAGAUGUACGAAGGGGGAGGAAGUGCAUCAAGAGGGUGACAGAGGUGAGGGAUGGGAGGUGUGAUGAGGAAGAAAGAGAGAAAGGGGAGGGGGGAGAAAGAGAGAAUAGGAAUCAUAGAGAUAGAGUGAGCGGCAGGCCUUGUAUUAGGCCAGAUAUUUCCUUAUCUCUUCAUUCUCCCAACUUGACAUGUAACUGUCAGUAUUUCCAUUGUAUCCCUGUUUGCCAGGUUCUCCACAUCACUUAGAAUGACCUGGUCCUACACAGUCUAGUUCCUGCUCCCUCUCUGACAUGCAUCCUAGCAUACCAAAUCCUUUCUUCUGCCUUGAACUUGCCACUUCAGUUCUGUUCUCUCCACUCCAAAUGUUCUUUCUCUCCCUACAGAUGUCCAUGUACCUUGUUUCUUUCCCUCCCCCACCUGGUCUCUAUAGAAAUAGUACUUCCUCAGAGACUCUAACUUCCUUAACAGCACACUUCCCCACUCAGUUAUCUGUCUCCUUGCUCUGCUGUGUUUCCCUUUGAGAGACUUAUAACUAACUAACUUGCUUUCUUUCUAUUUAUUUGUUGUCUGUCUCUUCACUUCUUACCUGAAGUAUAAACUCCAGAGACGUGUGACUUGAUUUGUCUUAUUAUAAUAUCCAAGAAGUCUAAUAGUGUCCUACACAUAAUAAAUGCUCAAUUAAAAACAUGUAUUUAUUCCUGAUUCAGACUGAGCCUAAAAUUCUUUCUGAUUGUGCCUUUGCUGAUAUGCAGUCAUCUACCCGAUAUUUUCCCAUCACUUUCAAGAGGACUUCUUGGAUCAUCCUAUUUAAAAUUGUUCUUCCCUACAAAUUCACUCUUUGUCUAAUUGUUCUCUUUUUGUAUUCUUCAAGACACUUCUUCAAUGAAAUAAUCUCACUGUUUGUUGGCUUUUUAUUACCUACCACACUAAAGCCUAAGAACCAUGAGAAAUGGAGCCAAUGGGAGCACCAUUUUCUCAUUCAUUGCCCAUGUAGAGCCACAGAAGCCCGGAGCAUGCAAAGCAAUGAGAAACAAGCCAGUAACCAACAGGCAUCUGCAUAUGGACAUCUUGGCAUCACCAUAAUAAGUGUUUACUAGCUAUGGAUUAUUUAUUUUUACUACAUAUUUUGUAAAAGUAGAAAUGGUAAUAAUAAUAAUAGGCAAUGAGCACAGGAAAAAAAUUCAAAGCCAAAAGAACAGUAUGAGUACUUUUUCUUAAACUGUGCCUCCUCAGGAGCUUGGCACAGAUGUCUCCAUGUUGGACAAAAAUAGUGGAGAUUGCCCUCAGUUAAUCCCAUUGCUUCUAGGAGAUUCUUUCACUCCCGUGAGUCAAAACUAAUGUGUG